rnacentral:rRNA from 1 species
GGUUAAGCGACUAAGCGUACACGGUGGAUGCCCUGGCAGUCAGAGGCGAUGAAGGACGUGCUAAUCUGCGAAAAGCGUCGGUAAGGUGAUAUGAACCGUUACAGCCGGCGAUGUCCGAAUGGGGAAACCCAGUGCAAUUCGUUGCACUAUCGUUAACUGAAUACAUAGGUUAACGAGGCGAACCGGGGGAACUGAAACAUCUAAGUACCCCGAGGAAAAGAAAUCAACCGAGAUUCCCCCAGUAGCGGCGAGCGAACGGGGAGCAGCCCAGAGUCUGAAUCAGCUUGUGUGUUAGUGGAACGGUCUGGAAAGUCCGACGGUACAGGGUGAUAGUCCCGUACACCAAAAUGCACAGGCUGUGAACUCGAAGAGUAGGGCGGGACACGUGGUAUCCUGUCUGAAUAUGGGGGGACCAUCCUCCAAGGCUAAAUACUCCUGACUGACCGAUAGUGAACCAGUACCGUGAGGGAAAGGCGAAAAGAACCCCGGCGAGGGGAGUGAAAAAGAACCUGAAACCGUGUACGUACAAGCAGUGGGAGCACCUUCGGGUGUGACUGCGUACCUUUUGUAUAAUGGGUCAGCGACUUAUAUUCUGUAGCAAGGUUAACCGUAUAGGGGAGCCGCAGGGAAACCGAGUCUUAACUGGGCGUUAAGUUGCAGGGUAUAGACCCGAAACCCGGUGAUCUAGCCAUGGGCAGGUUGAAGGUUGGGUAACACUAACUGGAGGACCGAACCGACUAAUGUUGAAAAAUUAGCGGAUGACUUGUGGCUGGGGGUGAAAGGCCAAUCAAACCGGGAGAUAGCUGGUUCUCCCCGAAAGCUAUUUAGGUAGCGCCUCGUGAAUUCAUCUUCGGGGGUAGAGCACUGUUUCGGCUAGGGGGUCAUCCCGACUUACCAACCCGAUGCAAACUACGAAUACCGAAGAAUGUUAUCACGGGAGACACACGGCGGGUGCUAACGUCCGUCGUGAAGAGGGAAACAACCCAGACCGCCAGCUAAGGUCCCAAAGUCACAGUUAAGUGGGAAACGAUGUGGGAAGGCACAGACAGCCAGGAUGUUGGCUUAGAAGCAGCCAUCAUUUAAAGAAAGCGUAAUAGCUCACUGGUCGAGUCGGCCUGCGCGGAAGAUGUAACGGGGCUAAACUGUGCACCGAAGCUGCGGCAGCGACACUAUGUGUUGUUGGGUAGGGGAGCGUUCUGUAAGCCUGCGAAGGUGGCCUGUGAGGGUUGCUGGAGGUAUCAGAAGUGCGAAUGCUGACAUAAGUAACGAUAAUGCGGGUGAAAAGCCCGCACGCCGGAAGACCAAGGGUUCCUGUCCAACGUUAAUCGGGGCAGGGUGAGUCGACCCCUAAGGCGAGGCCGAAAGGCGUAGUCGAUGGGAAACAGGUUAAUAUUCCUGUACUUGGUGUUACUGCGAAGGGGGGACGGAGAAGGCUAUGUUAGCCGGGCGACGGUUGUCCCGGUUUAAGCAUGUAGGCGGAGGUUCCAGGUAAAUCCGGUACCUUUUUAACGCUGAGGUGUGAUGACGAGGCACUACGGUGCUGAAGUAACAAAUGCCCUGCUUCCAGGAAAAGCCUCUAAGCAUCAGGUAACAUUAAAUCGUACCCCAAACCGACACAGGUGGUCAGGUAGAGAAUACCAAGGCGCUUGAGAGAACUCGGGUGAAGGAACUAGGCAAAAUGGUGCCGUAACUUCGGGAGAAGGCACGCUGAUAUGUAGGUGAAGCCCCUGCGGGUGGAGCUGAAAUCAGUCGAAGAUACCAGCUGGCUGCAACUGUUUAUUAAAAACACAGCACUGUGCAAACACGAAAGUGGACGUAUACGGUGUGACGCCUGCCCGGUGCCGGAAGGUUAAUUGAUGGGGUUAUCCGUAAGGAGAAGCUCUUGAUCGAAGCCCCGGUAAACGGCGGCCGUAACUAUAACGGUCCUAAGGUAGCGAAAUUCCUUGUCGGGUAAGUUCCGACCUGCACGAAUGGCGUAAUGAUGGCCAGGCUGUCUCCACCCGAGACUCAGUGAAAUUGAACUCGCUGUGAAGAUGCAGUGUACCCGCGGCAAGACGGAAAGACCCCGUGAACCUUUACUAUAGCUUGACACUGAACAUUGAGCCUUGAUGUGUAGGAUAGGUGGGAGGCUUUGAAGCGUGGACGCCAGUCUGCGUGGAGCCAACCUUGAAAUACCACCCUUUAAUGUUUGAUGUUCUAACGUUGGCCCCUUAUCGGGGUUGCGGACAGUGUCUGGUGGGUAGUUUGACUGGGGCGGUCUCCUCCCAAAGAGUAACGGAGGAGCACGAAGGUUAGCUAAUCCUGGUCGGACAUCAGGAGGUUAGUGCAAUGGCAUAAGCUAGCUUGACUGCGAGCGUGACGGCGCGAGCAGGUGCGAAAGCAGGUCAUAGUGAUCCGGUGGUUCUGAAUGGAAGGGCCAUCGCUCAACGGAUAAAAGGUACUCCGGGGAUAACAGGCUGAUACCGCCCAAGAGUUCAUAUCGACGGCGGUGUUUGGCACCUCGAUGUCGGCUCAUCACAUCCUGGGGCUGAAGUAGGUCCCAAGGGUAUGGCUGUUCGCCAUUUAAAGUGGUACGCGAGCUGGGUUUAGAACGUCGUGAGACAGUUCGGUCCCUAUCUGCCGUGGGCGCUGGAGAAUUGAGGGGGGCUGCUCCUAGUACGAGAGGACCGGAGUGGACGCAUCACUGGUGUUCGGGUUGUCAUGCCAAUGGCAUUGCCCGGUAGCUAAAUGCGGAAGAGAUAAGUGCUGAAAGCAUCUAAGCACGAAACUUGCCCCGAGAUGAGUUCUCCCUGACUCCUUGAGAGUCCUGAAGGAACGUUAAAGACGAUGACGUUGAUAGGUCGGAUGUGUAAGCGUAGCGAUACGUUGAGCUAACCGAUACUAAUGAACCGUGAGGCUUAACCUU